rnacentral:rRNA from 1 species
GGCAGGCCUAACACAUGCAAGUCGAGCGGUAGAGAGAAGCUUGCUUCUCUUGAGAGCGGCGGACGGGUGAGUAAUGCCUAGGAAUCUGCCUGGUAGUGGGGGAUAACGUUCGGAAACGGACGCUAAUACCGCAUACGUCCUACGGGAGAAAGCAGGGGACCUUCGGGCCUUGCGCUAUCAGAUGAGCCUAGGUCGGAUUAGCUAGUUGGUGAGGUAAUGGCUCACCAAGGCGACGAUCCGUAACUGGUCUGAGAGGAUGAUCAGUCACACUGGAACUGAGACACGGUCCAGACUCCUACGGGAGGCAGCAGUGGGGAAUAUUGGACAAUGGGCGAAAGCCUGAUCCAGCCAUGCCGCGUGUGUGAAGAAGGUCUUCGGAUUGUAAAGCACUUUAAGUUGGGAGGAAGGGCAGUUACCUAAUACGUGAUUGUUUUGACGUUACCGACAGAAUAAGCACCGGCUAACUCUGUGCCAGCAGCCGCGGUAAUACAGAGGGUGCAAGCGUUAAUCGGAAUUACUGGGCGUAAAGCGCGCGUAGGUGGUUAGUUAAGUUGGAUGUGAAAUCCCCGGGCUCAACCUGGGAACUGCAUUCAAAACUGACUGACUAGAGUAUGGUAGAGGGUGGUGGAAUUUCCUGUGUAGCGGUGAAAUGCGUAGAUAUAGGAAGGAACACCAGUGGCGAAGGCGACCACCUGGACU